AAGGAGUUUAUUGUUUUUUGUGUGGAACACGCAUUGUUUUUGGGUGGAUGCACACCCUCACCAAGUGGUGGUGGGGUUGCAGCAGACGGUAAGGCAUGGAAAGAAAUUGUUUGGUGUUUCACACUGCUUUAAGAAAAGGGUGCGUUGGUGCAUUGUUGGGUGUCUGGAACAGCACUUGUCGCUUUGUGUGUGGCGUGUUGUUUCUUGCUCCAUGUGGGGUUGCUGGCCGUGAUGGUGGUUGGUGAUUGUGUGUGGGGUGUGUUGUUUGAGAACUGUAUAGUGGACGCGAGCAUCUUUAUUUUUUGAUUUUGCCUUGUAAGUGUUUUUUGUGUGUGUU
rnacentral:misc_RNA from 1 species